rnacentral:rRNA from 1 species
UACGUAGGGUGCGAGCGUUUGUCCGGAAUUACUGGGCGUAAAGAGCUCGUAGGUGGUUUGUCGCGUUGUUCGUGAAAACUCACAGCUUAACUGUGGGCGUGCGGGCGAUACGGGCAGACUGGAGUACUGCAGGGGAGACUGGAAUUCCUGGUGUAGCGGUGGAAUGCGCAGAUAUCAGGAGGAACACCGGUGGCGAAGGCGGGUCUCUGGGCAACAACUGACGCUGGAGGAGCGAAAGCCGUGGGGAGCGAACAGG